AUUGAACGCUGGCGGCAUGCCUUACACAUGCAAGUCGAACGGCAGCACGGGGCAACCUGGUGGCGAGUGGCGAACGGGUGAGUAAUGCAUCGGAACGUACCUUUCAGUGGAGGAUAACGUAGCGAAAGUUACGCUAAUACCGCAUAUUCUGUGAGCAGGAAAGCAGGGGAGCGCAAGACCUUGCGCUGAUUGAGCGGCCGAUGUCAGAUUAGCUAGUUGGCGAGGUAAAGGCUCACCAAGGCGACGAUCUGUAGCGGGUCUGAGAGGAUGAUCCGCCACACUGGAACUGAGACACGGUCCAGACUCCUACGGGAGGCAGCAGUGGGGAAUUUUGGACAAUGGGGGCAACCCUGAUCCAGCCAUGCCGCGUGAGUGAAGAAGGCCUUCGGGUUGUAAAGCUCUUUCGGCCGGGAAGAAAUCGCACAGGCUAAUACCCUGUGUGGAUGACGGUACCGGAAUAAGAAGCACCGGCUAACUACGUGCCAGCCGCCGCAGUAACAC
rnacentral:rRNA from 1 species